AUUCCUUGCCCUAUUCUAUCUCUAAGAGUUAUUUGUUGUCACUAAUGCGGUGAUCUGUAGGUCCUGUUUGGUUCUUCGUUGUGUGGGGUCAUGUUUAGAGUGUUCUAGCAAGCUGUACUACUCAACCUCCAGGUAAGGGGAAUGUUUAUAACAUUUAUCUGUUUUAGUGGUGUGAUGUUAUUGAUUUUCUUCUAGCUUUUACUUUGAUUCUUGUUCUCUUGUGAGUUAGAUGGGAUUUACUCUGACUCGGUUAAGUGGACUACAUUCCAAUUUAUGUGAGUUAGCAUAGUAAAUAUAUAGACGCGCGCAUGUUUGAUAUAGGGUCCGCAUGCUUGUAGGCCAUUUAUAAUUUUUUUUGGCAGUGAAAGGAUGAGUAGUUUUGUGAUAACGAAAUGGGGAGGAGAGGUUAUAGGAAGAAGAAAAUGGUAACAGUGAAAUGGUGGGGUUUCAAGUUUAAAAGAAAUGGAAAGGGUAUAAAUAAGUAGAAAAAAAGAAUGGGUUGCGAAAUAUUUAUGUGUGGGUGUGUUCUCGGGAUUAUUGAAAGAAGACAAUUGUUAGGAUGAUUAUAUAUCAAACAAUUUGAGGGUGGAAGAAACAAGUUUCAUUCUUUGGGUUACGACUUCGUAGUGUAUGGGUAGAGGAAGUUUUAAGUAUCAUUAGGAAUUAUAGAAGUGGUUAUGAAAUGGGAUGACGUUUUGGUGCAGAGAAGGAAACAAGUUUUCUUAGCUUUUCCUUUAUAUUAAAAUGAAGAGAGUUUAGGUGCCUUUUAUUGGUGGGGACGUGAGUGGAUGAAGGAAAAAGCUGGGAGCAUGUUAUGCGUUGGAGGAUUAGAGUUAUGGUGUGAAUGGAUAGUGAGAGCGGUAAGGAGAAAGAGUAGGUUUUGUGAGAUGCCUCUAUUCCGGUGAGUGAAAGAAAAGAAAAUUUGGAGUUGAAUGGAUGUUGAGAGAUUAAAAGAGAGUUGGGGUUUGUGGUGGUUGGAAUGCGUUAAGCAAGUAAAAGGAAGUAGUUAAAAGAAGAGAAAAAUGGAGAAGAGUUGAGUCCAGGGUGAUUACAUGAAGAGGGAGAGUAUUAUGUCCUAGGAAGGUGUGAAGCAAAGAUAAUAAAUGGGAGGGGUGUAAUUAAAAUUCAUAGAAAAUAGGGAAGAAAGCCUCUUUGUGAAAUUGGUUGCAGAGAGUGAGUUUCCAUCUUGGUUGGUGAUUUCGUUUAUAAUGGAUUGAUAAUAUAUGGAAGUGGGGUCAUGCGGAUAUAAGUGGAAAAGAUUAAUGGUUUUAGCUUGGAUAUUUUGGGAGGAGAAUAUAUGUAGCUUUUAAUGUUUACUGUUGGCACGAAUCAACGAGUAUUUGGGUUGUUUAUUUUAUAUAUGUAAGAAUUAUGAUUUUUAAGAAUGUGGAGCUAGGAGUUUCUUUUCACUUAA
rnacentral:lncRNA from 1 species